ensembl:rRNA 5S_rRNA 5S ribosomal RNA
GUCUACGGCCAUGUCACCUUGAAUGCGCGAGAUCUUGUCUGUUCUUGGAACCUAAGCAGGGUCUGGCUUGGUUAGGACUUCCAUGGAACACUGGCUGGGAAUAUUGGGUGCUGUAGGUU